rnacentral:rRNA from 1 species
GGAAUCUUCCACAAUGGGCGGAAAGACCUGAUGGAGCAACGCCGCGUGUGUGGUGAAGGGUUUCGGCUCGUAAACACUGUUGUAAGAGAAGAAUGACAUUGAGAGUAACUGUUCAAUGUGUGACGGUAUCUUACCAGAAAGGAACGGCUAAAUACGUGCCAG